rnacentral:rRNA from 1 species
GACGAACGCUGGCGGCGUGCUUAACACAUGCAAGUCGAACGGUGAAGCGCCUUCCUUUUUGGUGGGUGUGGAUGAGUGGCGAACGGGUGAGUAACACGUGAGUAACCUGCCCCCUUCUUCUGGAUAACCGCAUGAAAGUGUGGCUAAUACGGGAUAUUCUGGGUCUGUCGCAUGAUGGGUCUGGGAAAGAUAUUGUUUCGGUGGGGGAUGGGCUCACGGCCUAUCAGCUUGUUGGUGGGGUGAUGGCCUACCAAGGCGGUGACGGGUAGCCGGCCUGAGAGGGUGGACGGUCACACUGGGACUGAGACACGGCCCAGACUCCUACGGGAGGCAGCAGUGGGGAAUAUUGCACAAUGGGCGCAAGCCUGAUGCAGCGACGCCGCGUGAGGGAUGGAGGCCUUCGGGUUGUGAACCUCUUUCGCCAGUGAAGCAGGCCUGCCUCGUUUGUGGGUGGGUUGACGGUAGCUGGAUAAGAAGCGCCGGCUAACUACGUG